CAGCAUUGUGUUAUCUAGUAUUUAAUUUGUAUAAACAGUUUAUUCAUACUGAAGUAACACUGGUCUUAAUGAAACGGAAAAUGAUAUUUAGGUUAUGUUGGGCUUUGCAGCUUCGUUACGAAAUCUGUGUGAGCCAGGUUUCUCAACCUCAUCCGAUAACUGAAGAGCACAUCAAAAACAUAUGUAUGCUGCCCACCAAUUAUACAUAUUAGCCAUAGAUAAAGAAUAUAUAGUCGCCGCUUACAACUAUUGGGUCUAUCUGUACAACAUGACUUUCCAGUAUUAGCGUAAUUAUCAUAAAAUAAAAGGAUAAACCUUAAGGGUUUCACAGAACUUGUAACACACUGUGACAUGUUUUGCCACACUGUGGCAUCAUCAGACAAAUGAAUAGUGGCACUUUUAUCAGGAUGGGUUUACCUGUUUAAUGUAACUUUACUGCAUACUGGUACCUGCAUCAGAUUGUAUGUAUGGGAGUUCUUUAAAAUGUUAUUUGUAUUACUGCUUCUUUAAUUCUUAAUGAAUUAGUUAUUGUGGUAAUGGUUUUGUGGUCUUUAAUUAUUAAAGAGUUUGUGAUAGGUUUGGCAUCUUAUAUAUUUGUUUUCAAAUAAUUUAGCGGCGCAUUAAACUACUUGUAUUAAACAAUCUAAUAACACUGCAAAAUACAAUUGCAAACUUAUAAAUUAUUUUUUGUACCACAUUUUGCGAGAUUAUUCAAAUAUGUAGUUGUGAUAAAUGUUUUCGUUUUCAUGCAUGAUUUUGUAGUAGAAUACAAUCUUGCACUGUUUGCAUGAAUUUAGUGGUGCUUCUAUCAUCUCCGAUGCACUCAUGUUUAGUCGGUCGAGUGCUGUGGUGCACUUCACGUUUCUUGAGAAUUUAACUUGGUUAUUGCAUUACAAUUGAUCGGCCACUGACUAUAUUUACUAAUAGAAAAUUGUGAAUAGUUUUUCUUGUGUCUGCCGUCAAAAGAUUUAUUGGUCAUCCGUCGGGUCUCGGAGAUCGGUAGCUAGUGAAUUUGAUUGGAUAUAUUGUGUAAUUGUUAAUUUGUGUAGCUAAUCCCCGUUUGUUUUCCGUGUGAAUUUUUUUAGCGCCAGAGCAAUAACUACCAUUUUACUUUCAACAAUUUUAAUAUUUAAAAUUUAUUUUCGUUUAUUUAUUUAUUUUUGUGGUUUUAGGUGUCUAGCGGGCGAACGCGAUGUCGUAGGACAACCGUUCUUACACUAAAUUGUGUCUAGCGGGCGAACGCGAUAUCGUAGGACAACCCUUCUUACACUAAAUUUUAUAGGUGUCUAGCGGGCGAACGCGAUGCCGUAGGACAACCGUCCCGACACUAAAUUGUGUCUAGCGGGCAAACGCGAUGUCGUAGGACAACUCUUCUUACACUAAAUUGUGUCUAGCGGGCGAACGCGAUGCCAUAGGACAACCGUCCCGACACUACAUUGUAUCUAGCGGGCGAACGCGAUGUCGUAGGACAACCGUUCUUACACCAAAUUGUGUCUAGCGGGCGAACGCGAUGUCGUAGAACAACCCUUCUUACACUAAAUUGUGUCUAGCGGGCGAACGCGAUGCCAUAGGACAACCGUCCCGACACUACAUUGUAUCUAGCGGGCGAACGCGAUGUCGUAGGACAACCGUUCUUACACCAAAUUGUGUCUAGCGGGCGAACGCGAUGUCGUAGGACAACCGUUCUUACACCAAAUUGUAGGUACUAAAAUUCUCUAUCGUUUUUGUAUAUAACUUCUGAGUUUAUCUCUUGGGAAACCUACGAAAAUGCCCUUUUUCUGUUUUGCGCUCGUCUGAUUUUAGGUGGCGAACGCGAUCUCGUAGGGCAAACGUUCUCUUACCAGAUUGUAUGUUUUGAAACUUUUUAACACUUUCAUCUAUAAUUUGUGAGAUAAGCGCGCGCCACCUAUAAAAAUAAAUUAAAAGUAAGGUAAUUUAAUUGUUUCAAAUCACAAUCUUUCUGUUAUUUUCAGCAGAUAAUUUGGGUACUAGAAUAUUGGGAGUCGCGUUGUUGUUUUUAACUUACGAACAUUGUUGUUUGUCCCUCCAAUUGUGGGUCGGUUAUCAAUUCUCGUUCUUGUUUAGUCCGGUUUAGUCGUUCGUGCGCCGUGGUGUGGUGUGCACGUGUUUUGUUCAUUAAUCAAACUUCGUGACAAUUGUUUGCGUUACUAAAGAUUUUAAUUCUGUACACACUGUUAACACUGUUAAUUCAGUGUGGUGUUUUUUUGUAGGACGUGCGUGGUGGCCGUCGGAUAAAUAUGCACGCUGUUGUGUUUAUUAAUCGUGGAUUAAUUUUUGGUUCACCUGUGCGCGUGUUUCCGUUAGGAAUCAAUUAUCGUUUCGCACAUAAGAAUAACUUGGAUUUAUAAUUAAUUUCUGCAAAUGGACAACUUUAAUGCACAGAGAAAAAGUUUGUGAGUACACGAAUGGGGUUUGCAAUAUCUAUAGCUGAAGUGUUGGAGACGCGUGUAUUUUAAGGCAAGCUUUUACUACUCCCGAAUUUACUAGCUGUCGAUAUUGUUUUAUCUAUUAAAUGUAUCUAUUAUUAUUGUUGUCAAUAUAACACAAUGUAAAAUUAUAA